UACAGAGGUCUCGAGCGUUGUUCGGAUUCAUUGGGCGUAAAGGGCGCGUAGGCGGCGGGGUAAGUCUGGUGUGAAAUCUCGGAGCUCAACUCCGAAAUUGCACUGGAUACUGCUCUGCUAGAGGGCUGGAGAGGAGAUUGGAAUUCACGGUGUAGCAGUGAAAUGCGUAGAUAUCGUGAGGAAGACCAGUGGCGAAGGCGGAUCUCUGGACAGUUCCUGACGCUGAGGCGCGAAGGCCAGGGGAGCAAACGGG
rnacentral:rRNA from 1 species